CGGCGCGCUUAACACAUGCAAGUCGAACGAGAAAGGGCUUCGGCCCGGUACAGUGGCGCACGGGUGAGUAACACGUAGGUAACCUGCCCUUGAGUGGUGGAUAACAUUCCGAAAGGAGUGCUAAUACAGCAUAAGACCACGGUUCCAUCAAGGAACAGGGGUCAAAGCGGGCCUCUUCAUGAAAGCUCGCGCUUGGGGAUGGGCCUGCGGCGCAUCAGCUAGUUGGUGAGGUAAUGGCUCACCAAGGCUAAGACGCGUAGCUGGUUUGAGAGGAUGAUCAGCCACACUGGAACUGAGACACGGUCCAGACUCCUACGGGAGGCAGCAGUGAGGAAUAUUGCGCAAUGGGGGCAACCCUGACGCAGCAACGCCGCGUGAGUGAGGAAGGUUUUCGGACCGUAAAGCUCUGUCGAGCGGGAAGAAAUGUAUCAUGGCUAAUAUCCAUGAUACUUGACGGUACCGCUAAAGGAAGCACCGGCUAACUCCGUG
rnacentral:rRNA from 1 species